AGGUGUUUGUUUCUAUAGAGGUCUAUUGGACAGGUGUUUGUUUCUAUAGAGGUCUAUGGGACAGGUGAUUGUUACAAUAGAGGUCUAUUUGACAGGUAAUUGUUACUAUAGAGGUCUAUGGGACAGGUAAUGGUUACUAUAGAGGUCUAUUGGACAGGUGUUUGUUUCUAUAGAGGUCUAUUGGACAGGUGUUUGUUUCUAUAGAGGUCUAUUGGACAGGUGUUUGUUACUAUAGAGGUCUAUUGGACAGUUGUUUGUUACUAUAGAGGUCUAUUGGACAGGUGUUUGUUUCUAUAGAGGUCUAUGGGACAGGUGUUUGUUUCUAUAGAGGUCUAUUGGACAGGUGAUUGUUACAAUAGAGGUCUAUUGGACAGGUGUUUGUUUCUAUAGAGGUCUAUUGGACAGGUGUUUGUUACUAUAGAGGUCUAUGGGACAGGUAAUGGUUACUAUAGAGGUCUAUUGGACAGGAAUAUGUUACUAUAGAGGUCUGUUGGACAGGUAAUGGUUACUAUAGAGAAGGGGUUUGCCAUCUAAAAGUACCAUGGAUUCUGAAUACAAGUAGUUUCUAUAACACAUCCUAAUACCAUGUCUAUCAUUUACAUAAACAUACCCCCCACCCCCAAAGAGAGCUUUACAAUGGAGGCAAUAUAUGACAUCAUUCACCGUCUCUCAACUUCUUCUCCUUUCGAAGAGAUCAAAU
ensembl:lncRNA